GUAGUCUGCAACCCGACUACAUGAAGCUGGAAUCGCUAGUAAUCGCGAAUCAGAAUGUCGCGGUGAAUACGUUCCCGGGUCCUUGUACACACCGCCCGUCACACCAUGGGAGUCGGAAAUGCCCGAAGUCAGUGACCCAACCGUAAGGAGGGAGCUGCCGAAGGUGGAGCCGGUAACUGGGGUGAAGUCGUAACAAGGUAUC
rnacentral:rRNA from 1 species